rnacentral:misc_RNA from 1 species
AAGAAAUUUAAUAAUUUUGAAAAUGGAUUUUUUUUGUUUUGGCAAGAGCAUGAGAGCUUUUACUGGGCAAGAAGACAAGAGAUGGAGAGUCCAGCCGGGCCUGCGCUUAAGUGCGCGGUCUUGCUAGGCUUGUAAGUUUCUUUCUUGCUAUUCCAAACGGUGAGAGAUUUCUGUGCUUUUGUUAUAGGACAAUUAAAACCGUUUCAAUACAACACACUGUGGAGUUUUCAUAUCUUUGCAACUUUUUCUUUGGGCAUUCGAGCAAUCGGGGCCCAGAGGUAACAAACACAAACAAUUUUAUUUAUUCAUUAAAUUUUUGUCAAAAACAAGAAUUUUCGUAACUGGAAAUUUUAAAAUAUUAAAAACUUUCAACAACGGAUCUCUUGGUUCUCGCAUCGAUGAAGAACGCAGCGAAAUGCGAUACGUAAUGUGAAUUGCAGAAUUCCGUGAAUCAUCGAAUCUUUGAACGCACAUUGCGCCCCUUGGUAUUCCAGGGGGCAUGCCUGUUUGAGCGUCAUUUCCUUCUCAAACAUUCUGUUUGGUAGUGAGUGAUACUCUUUGGAGUUAACUUGAAAUUGCUGGCCUUUUCAUUGGAUGUUUUUUUUUCCAAAGAGAGGUUUCUCUGCGUGCUUGAGGUAUAAUGCAAGUACGGUCGUUUUAGGUUUUACCAACUGCGGCUAAUCUUUUUUAUACUGAGCGUAUUGGAACGUUAUCGAUAAGAAGAGAGCGUCUAGGCGAACAAUGUUCUUAAAGU